GAGAAGAUGCCCCUUCCUUGUGUGUCCAUCUGUGAACUGGGAAAGGUGACCAGCAGGCUGCCUGCUCUAAAGAUGCUAAAGAAGUAGCAGAUGCCCAGCCCCCAUGGUCCCAGCCAGUCACCAGGCCAUUCUGCUGCUACCAGAAACUUGCUGUUUAGGACUUCUGUCUGCAGGGAAGUGGGGCCGUGGGAUCUGCUAACAUGAAGAAGGAAGAUAGCAGCUCUUUGUGAACUCUCCGGCCUGCUGCAAAAUAAGCCAGGACAGCACAGGGACAAGAUGCUUUGGAACAUUUGGGAGUCUCUGCUGUCUUAUUACAUACAAGGACCCUGGCAUUUCCUGCUAAUUCAAAGGAAGAGAAGAAAAUUAGUGCCUAUACUC
ensembl:lincRNA uncharacterized LOC110325217